UUCAGCCUUUGACUGACAGUGGCUCCUCCCAUCAGUCUGACCAGCUCAGCAUCUCAUUUCCACCACUAAUAAGGCUGAACAGCAGUGAAGAGACGGAGAAUAGUCAGUAAUGAGCUCUGAAAGACACUGCAGGGAACGCUGAAUGAGAAGAGCAGUGAAAGGGUUUAGAUGAACAGAAGAAAGGAUGAGAGAGGACAGAAAGAAUAAGAACGAUCUGCACACGUCAGGUGAACAGGUUAUUUACUGUGAGGUGAGGACAGAAAAAGAAGGACAGAGCAGUGAAAUGAAGACAAGCUGCCAUCUGAAUGAACUUCUUUAUUCCUGCUCUGAGUUCUUAUAUGGGUCAUUAGUGUCCAUCAUAAAUGAUGUCCAGUCCUGGAGGUCUCUGUCCUACACGGUUCAGUCUCCUCUCCGCUCCGAGUCUCCGACUGAACUCCUGAAUGACCUGAUAAUGGAUGUGUUGGGCAGAGAGAACAUGAACCUGAAUUAAUGCACAUUCACGUUCAGUUCAUCCACACGUUCACACGUCUCUGCAGUUUCCCUUUUCUUUUCAUUACGUUACUUUAUUUUAAACCUGAGAUUUUAAGUCUUCCUGAGUUUAAACGACUUCUUCAUGAAUGUAAACGUGUUAUGACGUCCACACUGUCCAUAUUCCUACAUUUCUGCAGGUCUUCUCCUUUAUAAGCAGCUCAGAUGAAGGACGCUGGAUGACUGACAGUCUUUACUGCAGAUGAUCAGGAUCUGCUGUGGAGGUCAGUCACAGAUUCAGCUCCGUCACUCAGUCAGAGUCACUAAGACUGUAAAGUGAAGCAUGUUUACUGGACUCUGGACUCUGUACAGCCCCUCAGGUUUGAUGGUAUUGACCUAUGGGAUCUUGUUACCAUUCAGAUGGGAUGUUUUAGACGGUGCAUGACAGUCUCAGCAUUUUGAUGCAUGUAAGACGGCUUUAGGUUCUGCAUUGAUGAUUGGGCUGAAAAGAUGAAGAGCAGAAAUCACAGUUGAAGAUGGUUUUUAGAUGAUUUUCAUGUGCUUGCUGAGUUUAACUUGUGCCCAGGGUCCCAUGAAGACCAUGACUGAUCCCUGAUUAUACAGUAUAGUUCAAACAGUUCGCACUGCUUACUGUAUUUAAAGACUUUCAUAUAGAAAACUGUGGAAAUGUUUACUGUAAAUGUUAUUAAACACAUGGGAAAUAUUUACCCUGUUCAUUA